UACGGAGGGUGCAAGCGUUGUUCGGAAUCAUUGGGCGUAAAGCGCGUGUAGGCGGCCAUGUAAGUCUGAUGUGAAAGCCCGGGGCUUAACCCCGGAAGUGCAUUGGAUACUGUGUGGCUAGAGGGCGAGAGGGGGAAGCGGAAUUCCUGGUGUAGGGGUGAAAUCCGUAGAUAUCAGGAGGAACACCGGUGGCGAAGGCGGCUUCCUGGCUCGUUACUGACGCUGAGACGCGAAAGCGUGGGGAGCAAACAGG
rnacentral:misc_RNA from 1 species